rnacentral:misc_RNA from 1 species
UCCGAGUUGUCCCCGGCAGUCUCCUACGAGUCCCCGGCAUUACCCGCUGGCAACAUAGGACAAGGGUUGCGCUCGUUGCGGGACUUAACCCAACAUCUCACGACACGAGCUGACGACAACCAUGCACCACCUGUGUAUGGCCCAAAAGGACACCGUAUCUCUGGGGCUUUCCGGCAUAUGUCAAACCCAGGUAAGGUUCUUCGCGUUGCAUCGAAUUAAUCCGCAUGCUCCGCCGCUUGUGCGGGCCCCCGUCAAUUCCUUUGAGUUUUAGCCUUGCGGCCGUACUCCCCAGGCGGGGCACUUAAUGCGUUAGCGUCGGCACGGAGGGAGUCGACACCCCCCACACCUAGUGCCCAUCGUUUACGGCGUGGACUAC